rnacentral:rRNA from 1 species
GACGAACGCUGGCGGCGUGCUUAAUACAUGCAAGUCGAACGCAUUUUCUCUCACCGUAGCUUGCUACACCGAAAGAAAAUGAGUGGCGAACGGGUGAGUAACACGUGGGCAACCUGCCCAUAAUUGGGGGAUAACACUUGGAAACGGGUUCUAAUACCCCACAAUUCCAUUUACCGCAUGGUAGAGGGGUGAAAGGCGCUUUUGCGUCACUGUUGGAUGGUCCCGCGGUGCAUUAGCUAGUUGGUGGGGUAACGGCCUACCAAGGCUGAGAUGCAUACCCGACCUGAGAGGGUGGUCGGCAGACUGGGACUGAGACACGGCCCAGAGUGCUACGGGAAGGAGCAGUAGGGAAUCGUCGGCAAUGGACGCGAGUCUGACCGAGCAACGCGGCGUGAGUGAAGAAGGUUUUCGGAUCGUAAAACUCUGCUGUUGGGGAAGAACAAGGAUGAGAGUGUAAAGUUCAGCCCUUGACGGUAACUAACCAGAAAGCAACGGCUAACUACGUG